UACGUAGGGUGCAAGCGUUGUCCGGAAUUAUUGGGCGUAAAGCGCUCGUAGGUGGCCUGUCGCGUCGGCUGUGAAAACUCGGGGCUCAACUCCGAGCUUGCAGUCGAUACGGGCAGGCUAGAGUUCGGCAGGGGAGACUGGAAUUCCUGGUGUAGCGGUGAAAUACGCAGAUAUCAGGAGGAACACCGGUGGCGAAGGCGGGUCUCUGGGCCGAUACUGACGCUGAGGAGCGAAAGCGUGGGGAGCGAACAGG
rnacentral:rRNA from 1 species